rnacentral:tmRNA from 1 species
UGUCUUGAACAUGCGGCCAUGCCACCGUAUCUUGGGGGCGCCGGGCGACCGGCUAUGUCGGUAGACUAUCGGGUGGAAUAGGCAUUUCGGACCCGGGGGGCAGUACCCCGGCGCCUCCACCACCAGCGCGACGCGCAUCGCGGCGCUGCUGAUGGGGGCGAAACAGGAUCGACGAGUGCAAUAAAGGCCUGGUUGCCGAUCGGAUUGGUCCACCGCAACGGGCCAUUCACACAAGUGCCAACGAUAAUGAGGCUCUUGCGAUUGCUGCGUAACUGAAGGCCUAACGGUCUAAGUUACAAUGACAAAAGCGCGGUCGGACCCCACCGGGCAACAGAAGGGGAUUCCAGCGGCUUGGGGAGGGCCGGGCAACAGAACCUCCCCACC